UCUAAAGCACACCUUCUGAUUAUCUUGCUGCCAUUGCAUUCCCACACGACAUCACGACUAUAUAAAGUGCACUUGCCGUCCAGGACGCUACACCAACAAACAAGCAUGAAGUUUCUCGCUCUUCUCCUGAUCGUCGCCGUCUUCACCCUCAACACUGGCGAGGUGAGCGGCCAGCAGUGUGCGGGCGCAUGCAGGAACGAGGCAAAUAACUUCUGCGCUACCCAGUGUGCUUCCUGUGCACAUGGAGCAACUUGUGACCACACCAGAAACGUCUGUACCUGUUAACACCAAUAGAAAUGAUCUCUUGGAUAUGGUUUGGUCUGCCUUCGUAUGAAGACAAUACUUUAAUAAACAAACAAAAUGUGAA